rnacentral:rRNA from 1 species
UUAUUCGCUGCAGAGAUUUCGGUCAAAGCUUGNNUAAAGUUAGUGGCGGACGGGUGAGUAACGCGUGGGCAACCUGCCUCAUACUGGGGGAUAACAGUUGGAAACGGCUGUUAAUACCGCAUAAGCGCACAGCAUCGCAUGAUGCAGUGUGAAAAACUCCGGUGGUAUGAGAUGGGCCCGCGUCAGAUUAGCUAGUUGGCGGGGUAACGGCCCACCAAGGCGACGAUCUGUAGCCGGACUGAGAGGUCGGACGGCCACAUUGGGACUGAGACACGGCCCAAACUCCUACGGGAGGCAGCAGUGGGGGAUAUUGCACAAUGGAGGAAACUCUGAUGCAGCGACGCCGCGUGAGUGAAGAAGUAUUUCGGUAUGUAAAGCUCUAUCAGCAGGGAAGGAAGGCUCGCAAGAGAGAUGACGGUACCUGACUAAGAAGCCCCGGCUAACUACGUGCCAGCAGCCGCGGUAAUACGUAGGGGGCAAGCGUUAUCCGGAUUUACUGGGUGUAAAGGGAGCGCAGACGGCCAUGCAAGUCUGAAGUGAAACCCCACGGCUCAACCGUGGGCUUGCUUUGGAAACUGUUUGGCUAGAGUACUGGAGAGGUAAGUGGAAUUCCUAGUGUAGCGGUGAAAUGCGUAGAUAUUAGGAGGAACAUCGGUGGCGAAGGCGGCUUACUGGACAGCAACUGACGUUG